ACGAACGCUGGCGGCGUGCCUAAUACAUGCAAGUCGAACGGUCUUUCUAUGGAAGCUUGCUCCACUGAGAAGAUAGUGGCGAACGGGUGAGUAACACGUGGGUAACCUGCCCAUAAGAGGGGGAUAACAUCCGGAAACGGGUAGCUAAUACCGCAUAGUUUCUUGAUCGCAUGAUCGGAAAGGAAAGACGGCCUUUGUGCUGUCGCUUAUGGAUGGACCCGCGGCGUAUUAGUUAGUUGGUGAGGUAACGGCUCACCAAGACGAUGAUACGUAGCCGACCUGAGAGGGUGAUCGGCCACAUUGGGACUGAGACACGGCCCAAACUCCUACGGGAGGCAGCAGUAGGGAAUCUUCCGCAAUGGACGAAAGUCUGACGGAGCAACGCCGCGUGAGCGAAGAAAAGGUUUUCGGAUCGUAAAACUCUGUUGUCAGAGAAGAACAAGUUGGAGAGUAACUGCUCCAGCCUUGACGGCAUCUGACCAGAAAGCCACGGCUAACUACGUGCCAGCCGCGGC
rnacentral:rRNA from 1 species